rnacentral:rRNA from 1 species
ACUGGGACUGAGACACGGCCCAGACUCCUACGGGAGGCAGCAGUGGGGAAUAUUGCGCAAUGGGCGGAAGCCUGACGCAGCGACGCCGCGUGAGGGAUGACGGCCUUCGGGUUGUAAACCUCUUUCAGCGCCGAAGAAGCGAAAGUGACGGUAGGCGCAGAAGAAGCACCGGCUAACUACGUGCCAGCAGCCGCGGUAAUACGUAGGGUGCAAGCGUUGUCCGGAAUUAUUGGGCGUAAAGAGCUCGUAGGCGGUCUGUCGCGUCGGAUGUGAAAUCCCGAGGCUUAACCUCGGGCCUGCAUUCGAUACGGGCAGACUAGAGUUCGGUAGGGGAGACUGGAAUUCCUGGUGUAGCGGUGAAAUGCGCAGAUAUCAGGAGGAACACCGGUGGCGAAGGCGGGUCUCUGGGCCGAUACUGACGCUGAGGAGCGAAAGCGUGGGGAGCGAACAGGAUUAGAUACCCUGGUAGUCCACGCCGUAAACGUUGGGCGCUAGGUGUGGGGAACCUUCCACGUUCUCCGUGCCGCAGCUAACGCAUUAAGCGCCCCGCCUGGGGAGUACGGCCGCAAGGCUAAAA